rnacentral:rRNA from 1 species
CCUACGGGAGGCAGCAGUGAGGAAUAUUGGUCAAUGGACGAGAGUCUGAACCAGCCAAGUAGCGUGAAGGAUGACUGCCCUAUGGGUUGUAAACUUCUUUUAUAUGGGAAUAAAAUGUUCCACGUGUGGGAUUUUGUAUGUACCAUAUGAAUAAGGAUCGGCUAACGCCGUGCCAGCAGCCGCGGUAAUACGGAGGAUCCGAGCGUUAUCCGGAUUUAUUGGGUUUAAAGGGAGCGUAGGUGGAUUGUUAAGUCAGUUGUGAAAGUUUGCGGCUCAACCGUAAAAUUGCAGUUGAAACUGGCAGUCUUGAGUACAGUAGAGGUGGGCGGAAUUCGUGGUGUAGCGGUGAAAUGCUUAGAUAUCACGCAGAACUCCGAUUGCGAAGGCAGUUCACUGGACUGCAACUGACACUGAGGCUCGAAAGUGUGGGUAUCAAACAGGAUUAGAUACCCGUGUAGUC